GACGAACGCUGGCGGCGUGCCUAAUACAUGCAAGUAGAACGCUGAAGAGAGGAGCUUACUCUUCUUGGAUGAGUUGCGAACGGGUGAGUAACGCGUAGGUAACCUGCCUUGUAGCGGGGGAUAACUAUUGGAAACGAUAGCUAAUACCGCAUAACAAUGGAUGACACAUGUCCUUUAUUUGAAAGGGGCAAUUGCUCCACUACAAGAUGGACCUGCGUUGUAUUAGCUAGUAGGUGAGGUAAUGGCUCACCUAGGCGACGAUACAUAGCCGACCUGAGAGGGUGAGCGGCCACACUGAGACUGAGACACGGCCCAGACUCCUACGGGAGGCAGCAGUAGGGAAUCUUCGGCAAUGGGGGCAACCCUGACCGAGCAACGCCGCGUGAGUGAAGAAGGGUGUCGGAUCGUAAAGCUCUGUUGUAAGUCAAGAACGGGUGUGAGAGUGGAAAGUUCACACUGUGACGGUAGCUUACCAGAAAGGGACGGCUAACUACGUG
rnacentral:rRNA from 1 species